rnacentral:rRNA from 1 species
AAAGGGCGCGUAGGCGGAAUGCUUUGUCGGGCGUGAAAUUCCAGGGCUUAACCUUGGGACUGCGUUCGAGACGGGUAUUCUAGAGUGGAGAAGAGGGUCGUGGAAUUCCCAGUGUAGAGGUGAAAUUCGUAGAUAUUGGGAAGAACACCGGUGGCGAAGGCGGCGACCUGGUCUUUUACUGACGCUGAGGCGCGAAAGCGUGGGGAGCAAACAGGAUUAGAUACCCCGGU